CUAAUAUAAUACUGUAAAUCAAUUAUACUUCAAUACUAAUUAAUUAAUUAUUAAAAAGGAAAAGAUCCGAUCUUUACUUGGGUCUCUGGAAGAACGUUAAGGGUGUCAAACUUGCAAUCUUCAGCAACUUUUCUCAAAAAUCCCUUCAUCCCCGUCCCCAUCUUCUCAUACCUCUUAGCAGCCUGGACACUCUAUGAAGCCAACGCCUAAACUGCACCUCAACUCCCAGCUGGCCUGCGUGGCUCUGCUGCCAUCCCUCCGUCGGGCCCCUCUCAGCUCUUUAGGAUGGAAGUUCUACAUCUCAAUCCAUGUUAUCAGUUCCACAACAUAAAAUGCCCAGGAACCACGAAGACCAUCCUGAGAGAAAAAAACUGUGAACCAUGGGUGUGGCCAAGGUCUUCGGCACAGCCUGGCUUUCCUGAUUUAGCAUCUGGCUUCCUCCCUGACUCCAGCUUCUCCAGUCUCCAAUCUGUCCCACAUGCACCACGCAGCGGAUCACGCUCCGCACUCACCGUGCAGCUGCCCUGCUGGAUAGCUCCCGAGUCCCAGCACGUGGAGCCUAGGUUCCCAUUCAGGUAACCCACUUCAAGCUCCUGGCAGCACAUCUCCACUUCCACUUCAACUACACUGGUCCUCCAGUGAGUACCAGCCUGAGUUCCCUCCGAAAGGCCCACCCUGGCUGCUUCUCAAGUCUGAGUCACAGCACUUAAAAGUCUGUGCCACACAGUCUCAUUUUGAUUUUCUCUGUCAUUUGAUUGUUUUCAUUGUUAUAAAGCCUUGAGUCUUCUUCCCAUGAGACCAUAAGCUCCUUGAGAUCAGGGACCUCAAAGGCUUAUAAGGAGCACCCCCAGAUACUCAAAAGUCAUCUUCCUCUGUUAGCUCAUGACAAGAAAACAGACUGUUUUUACUCCAAAGGCCUUGAUGGAAAUCUCCAGAUGCCCCUGCCAAGUCUUUUGCAUUAACUCCCUGCCAAGUCAUUUUUAAGAACUUCUAGAUAAAGGGCAGAAGGAACCCUUUUAAAAAUGUAUGUAUUUAUGGCUUUUGUGGUGGAUAAUAUAUUCAUCUGGCUCAAAACUUAAAAUGAAGUCAGCCUCCCACCUUUGUUUCUCAACCACCCAGUUCCCCUGCUGAGAGGCAAACAAUGGCCUUGUUUAUUUUCAAUACGUAUUUGAGCAAAUACAAGCCGAUGUGAAUAUUUCCUCCUUUUCUCCCCUCACUUUUUUUAUACACAAGCUAGCAUGCAGUACACCAUCUCCAUCUUGCAUUUUCUUUAGCAAUGUAUCUCAGACAUAGUCCCCUAUCAGCCCUAGAGAGCUUCCUUCCUCACUCUUUGUCUUGUGGCUGUGUGGAGUUCAGGAAUGACUCUGAUUUAUUU